ACUCCUGGAUGAGAAACAAGUUCUUUGCAGGGGGUGUCGGGAAGGAGAAGCAGUGACUUUGCAAAAAUACAGAAAAGCCAUUUUAAGAUAUGUUUAAACAACAUUAAAAACUUCUGUUUCUAUAACAUUUGAGCUGUUUUC